rnacentral:rRNA from 1 species
UACGGAGGGGGCUAGCGUUGUUCGGAAUUACUGGGCGUAAAGCGCACGUAGGCGGCUUUACAAGUCAGAGGUGAAAUCCCGGAGCUCAACUCCGGAACUGCCUUUGAUACUGAAAAGCUUGAGUUCGGGAGAGGUGAGUGGAACUGCGAGUGUAGAGGUGAAAUUCGUAGAUAUUCGCAAGAACACCAGUGGCGAAGGCGGCUCACUGGCCCGAUACUGACGCUGAGGUGCGAAAGCGUGGGGAGCAAACAGG